rnacentral:rRNA from 1 species
UACGGAGGGAGCUAGCGUUGUUCGGAAUUACUGGGCGUAAAGCGCGCGUAGGCGGCUUUAUAAGUCGGGGGUGAAAGCCUGUGGCUCAACCACAGAAUUGCCUUCGAUACUGUAGAGCUUGAGACCGGAAGAGGUAAGUGGAACUGCGAGUGUAGAGGUGAAAUUCGUAGAUAUUCGCAAGAACACCAGUGGCGAAGGCGGCUUACUGGUCCGGUUCUGACGCUGAGGCGCGAAAGCGUGGGGAGCAAACAGG